CCGGCCAUAGCAAGAACAAAGGGAGAAAAGAAAGAACAAGAACCCUAGGGUGAAAAUUCAAGAGAAAAAUUGAUGGAUUUCAAGUAAUCAAGCAAUCAAAGGUAAAAUUUCUUGAUUUUGACUUGUGAUCUACCUUUCCCAUGCAUUCUUUUGCAUUUUUCAUGGUUGAGAAUCAAGUUUUCAUGAUGAAUCCCUUGUUGUCUGAACACCUAGGAGAGAGAAUUUGAUGAUGAUUUGGUUAGAUUUUAAUGUAUUUUGGUGUUUUUAGUUAGUUAGUGAUGUGUAGCAUGAAAAGCCAACAAGAAAAAUUCAUUUUCUCUCAUUACCCAUCAUUGGCCGAAUUUUCCUCGUAGAGUGUGGAUGGUAGAUUUGAUUUUAUUUCAAGUGAAUUGGUUAGGAAAUGAUGAAUUAUGGUGAGAAAAUCAAGUAGAAAAAAUCAUGGUGUUGAUUCACCCACCAUGGCCGAAAUUCUCAAGAGAAAACGUGGAGAUGAUUUUGCUAAAUUUUAUGCUAUUUGACUUGUGUUUGAGGAUUUGGAGAAUUGGAAGAAAAAUGGAGUUAAUUGGUGUUGAAUUGGACAUAUUGGCCAAUUAAUCGAGUGAUAGAUCGAAUUAGGCCAAUACCGUAUUAUUUAGGUACACAAUUAAAUUUGUGUAGAACACUGUGUGUAGACAAUAAUCCGAACAAUUUGCAUCCCAUUUCAUACAUUAGUAUAAAGCCUGAAUUGGUUUUAUAACAAUUUAGCACAAUGUAUUAAAUGGCUUAUUGUGCAUUAUGUCUAGGUGGUGAGCAUUCUGGCAAAAGUAAAGAGAUAGUACCGGAGGAUCAAGAAUCGGAGUACAUGGAAUUCGACUCUCGAAAUAGUGAGUAACCUUACUAUCGUCUUAAUUAUCUAAAGUGGUUUUUAUCCGAUUUUGUGAUUUUAUGGAAAAUGAGUUUAAAUGGUAAAUUUUUAUGUUUUAUAAACAAAAUGUGUUUAAACGAAAUGAUUUUAUAAAUUGUCUUGAAAUUGAAUGAUGGCUUUGAAAAUAGAGUAAUUGGAGACCAUUUGAUGUAUUGUGAAUUUAUGUUUCUAAUUGAUUGGCUUAUGAUAAUAUUGGCAUGAAUGGUUGAAUUGGAAAAUGUGUUGAAAAUGUAUGAAUUGUUGAUGUGCCUUGAAAGGCUAUAAAAUAAAAUAAUUGUCAUAUCAUGUUAUUAAAUUUUAUUGAUUGGUGGGAUAAUUAUUAGCUUACUGCAGUAGACAAGUUCUGUGGACCAACCUAUUAGAAGGGCACGGAAUCUCGUUAUAUUUUACCUCGGUUGGAGAGGUGAGUAGAGUAACUCCCAAGGUAUAACUUUUAGAGUUCACUUCACGCCAAACCACCACGUGAGGGGGAACUCAGCCAACGCCAAGGAACGGCUAUGUUUUCAAAAUAAAAACAUGAUUUAUGCGUAAGUAACUUUUUAAUAGCCUUGGCGGACUCGGUUGGGAUAGCCCACGAUCAAGGCAUCCCUAAUAAUUGGGUAUGAGAAUGAUUUUGGCACGAGCCAAAGUUUUAAGAAAUUCGUAAGCCAUGUUGAUUACUCAAUUUAUAUGAAUUGAUUUUAUUUGGUUGAAAUGAGUUGAAAGGUUAUAAAUUACAAUAUGAUGAUUUAUUUUAUCUGUUUCCAUUUACUCGACUUUAGAUAUUUUAGAUGGUAUUUGUUUACUCACUGGGAUUAUAUAAUCUCACCACCCUCCUUUCCACCCCUUUCAGGCUCAAGAUAGUCGGUAGAUAGCUCAUUUCGUUGAGGGCUACAAUUGGACUUGCAUUCUCAAAAAUUAUAGGUUCACAGUCUUUCUUACUUUUGGUUAUUUGUGGGCCCACAUGUCACUGUAAAUUAAAUUAUAUUUUGGUUAUCUGUAUUACAAUAUGUAUGAAUUUAUUUAGUUUUUACGCUACAAAAAUUAUUUACCAGUAACUCUUUAAAUAUUGUUUGAUAAGAAAUAGAAUGUUUUAUUGAAUAUUUUUAUUAUAUUCAAAUUGUCAUAAUUUCAUUUUUAAAUGAAGGUUUCAG
rnacentral:lncRNA from 1 species